rnacentral:rRNA from 1 species
GACGAACGCUGGCGGCGUGCUUAACACAUGCAAGUCGAACGGAAAGGCCCUGCUUUUGUGGGGUGCUCGAGUGGCGAACGGGGGAGUAACACGUGAGUAACCUGCCCUUGACUUUGGGAUAACUUCAGGAAACUGGGGCUAAUAUCGGAUAGGAGCUCCUGCUGCAUGGUGGGGGGUGGAAAGUUUCGGCGGUUGGGGAUGGACUCGCGGCUUAUCAGCUUGUUGGUGGGGUAGUGGCUUACCAAGGCUUUGACGGGUAGCCGGCCUGAGAGGGUGACCGGCCACCUUGGGACUGAGAUACGGACCAGACUCCUACGGGAGGCAGCGGUGGGGAAUAUUGCACAAUGGGCGGAAGCCUGAUGCAGCAACGCCGCGUGCGGGAUGACGGCCUUCGGGUUGUAAACCGCUUUCGCCUGUGACGAAGCGUGAGUGACGGUAAUGGGUAAAGAAGCACCGGCUAACUACGUG